UACGUAGGGUGCAAACGUUGUUCGGAAUUACUGGGCGUAAAGGGCGCGUAGGCGGUGCGGUAAGUCACCUGUGAAACCUCUAGGCUCAACCUAGAGCCUGCAGGCGAAACUGCCGUGCUUGAGGGUGGGAGAGGUGCGUGGAAUUCCCGGUGUAGCGGUGAAAUGCGUAGAUAUCAGGAGGAACGCCAGUGGCGAAAGCGGCUCUCUGGUCUGUUACUGACGCUGAGGUGCGAAAGCUAGGGGAGCAAACGGG
rnacentral:rRNA from 1 species